rnacentral:rRNA from 1 species
GUACACGCUGUGACUAGCAUAUCAAUAAGCGGAGGAAAAGAAACUAACAAGGAUUCCCCUAGUAACGGCGAGUGAAGCGGGAAGAGCUCAAAUUUGAAAUCUUAAAGGGUUUCCCUUUACGAAUUGUAGUUUAAAGAAGUGUUUUCUGUUGAGGUUUUGGUAAAAGUUCUUUGGAAUAGGACAUCAUAGAGGGUGAGAAUCCCGUAUUUGACCUUUACUUUCAACUUUGUGAUACACUUUCAAAGAGUCGGAUUGUUUGGGAAUGCAGUCCAAAAUGGGUGGUAAAUUUCAUCUAAAGCUAAAUAUUGGCGAGAGACCGAUAGCGAACAAGUACCGUGAGGGAAAGAUGAAAAGAACUUUGAAAAGAGAGUUAAACAGUACGUGAAAUUGUCAAAAGGGAAGCGUUUGACACCAGUGUUGUUUUUCUGAAAAUCAAUUAAAGAACUGUUUAUGCUAAGUUGUUUAGACUUUAUCAGCUAACUGUUUAGUUUUGAGCUUUCCUUUAAUGCACUUUUCAGUUAACAAGUCAACAUCAAUUUCUUUUGCUGUAAAAAAGCUUGAGGAAGGUGGCUUGAGAUUCGUCUUAAGUGUUUAUAGCCUCUUGCCUAUGCAGUCGGAGAGAUUGAGGUCUGCAGCGUAGAUCCUUCGGGGCUAAAUGCAUUUGUGCUAAGUUAUAGCAUUUUAUAGACAACUUGUUGACUAUGAUUUGUCUUGUAGCUUACUCGCUUAUGUUAUUUUACCUACGCUUAGGAUGUUGACAGCAGUAUAGACUGU